rnacentral:rRNA from 1 species
AUUGAACGCUGGCGGCAUGCCUUACACAUGCAAGUCGAACGGCAGCACGGGCUUCGGUCUGGUGGCGAGUGGCGAACGGGUGAGUAAUGUAUCGGAACGUACCCUUCAGUGGGGGAUAACUAUCCGAAAGGAUAGCUAAUACCGCAUAUUCUCUGAGGAGGAAAGCGGGGGAUCGCAAGACCUCGCGCUGAUGGAGCGGCCGAUAUCAGAUUAGCUAGUUGGUGGGGUAAAGGCCUACCAAGGCGACGAUCUGUAGCGGGUCUGAGAGGAUGAUCCGCCACACUGGGACUGAGACACGGCCCAGACUCCUACGGGAGGCAGCAGUGGGGAAUUUUGGACAAUGGGGGCAACCCUGAUCCAGCCAUGCCGCGUGAGUGAAGAAGGCCUUCGGGUUGUAAAGCUCUUUCGGCCGGGAAGAAAUCGCGUGAGUUAAUACCUUGCGUGGAUGACGGUACCGGAAUAAGAAGCACCGGCUAACUACGUGCCAGCAGCCGCCGUAAAAC